UCUUAGGGCCACGUAACUCAACUGAAGCAGAGUCCACGAACUAACCAUGCCUCACUAUCUAGCAUUUGUCAAGUGUCCCUGCCCAUGCCACUGUCUAGCACACCUGCUCUGGCUUGUGGAACCCACUGUUUCUUGGGCUAUUCUCUAGCACAUUCUGUCCUAGACCCCAUGGGGAAGUCAUGAAAAUUGUAUACCUUCUUUCCAGUAAAAGCAAAUCGUUCUGAGUUGGUCAGAAGGUGUAGAAAAUUAGGAAACUGGCUUUUGCCAUGGGAUACAGAUGAAUCAGACCUUCUCACAUGUGAAUUGUCACAGCUUCGAAGCAUCUCUGGAUAACAUGUGACUUACUGGAUGAACUAUAAUUGAAACUCACAGGUAUGGAAUGAACAUUAUAGGCAAAACUGCUUUUUUCUAGGCAAGGAAUUCUAUGUGGAUUUCAUUUCCAUCCCAUGUAAUCCUCACAACAAUCUUAAAAGUGACUUUUUGACAAAUGACACUGUGACUUGAGAAGUUAAAUAACUUACCAAAAAUCACAUGCCACUGAGUAGCAGAAUCAGGAUCCAAGCUCAGGUUUUCCAGUCUAAAAUUCCUGCUACAUCACUCUUUUUUUAUGCUGCCGAAAAGCACAGACGUCCCCCUUGGGAGCUACAGGGAAAGCUGGGCCCUUUGCACAGACUCAGCUCAAUCCAUAGCUCUGCCAUGAACUGGCUGUGUGACCAUCAGCAUGUUACCUAGCCUAUUUGAGCCUGCUCCUUCAUCUGUAAAACGAGGCUGGUAGCAGUACCAUUUUAUAUAGCAGUUGUGAAGAUUAAUGAACUAAUAUGUAGAAUACUGCUUAGAGUAGUACUAGGCAAAUAGUAAACCCCCAGGAAAUAUUAGCAAUUAUUAAUUGCUUGAAGUUCUCUGCCCACUUCCCUGAGCUCAGAGUCUUCUACUGCACGAGGCCUACUUUUCUGAGUUGAGAGCAUGAGAGACAUGUUUUGUUAUUUAGUACAAUCAACUUCUAGGGGGACUGUGGCCUAAUUAAUUACAGACUACUUUUUUGAAUGCAAGAUUUUUAGAAUGCUUUGUGGCAAUUUUCUUUCCCACUUAUAUUUAAUUUUGGCAAUAAAAAAGCAAAAUUAGCUUAUUUUUCUUCAUUCUUGCCUGCUGACAAUAGGUUGAUGACUGCCGGCCAGACUGAGGGGACAACUUUUUAUGUAUUUAUUUUUAAACUUCCAUUUUGACAAACCUAGUGGCUGUUUUUCAGCUGUUAAUGCAGAUGAUCUGCUUUUAUUGCAGGCCCGCCAAAUAAUCAGUCCUCUCUUCUGGCCUCUGGACUCUGACUUCCCUGAGGACAAGAACCACUGACAUGUAACUUGUCUCUGUCACACCCCUGCUUACACAGGGCCUGGCAUGUAGUGGGCAGUCAAGAGAUAUCUGUAGAAUGAACUAAUGAAUGAAUGAAUUAAUGGGCACACAGAGCGUCUCAAACCUGGCUCUUUUGGGGAGCCACGCUUGCUUGCCAGUUGGAUUCCUCCGCAAACCAAGGAUGUUGACGAUGAGAGAAAAUCCGUAACCCUCUAGGCUCAGAGCUUUCUCAGCUUGUUGCCAGUAUGUUUGAAAGAAGCCGAGUAGGCCAGCCUGGAGAAUGUGCCCCAUUUCCCUCUGAAAAGGCUUGGCUCUGUGUUCCCACUCAAACCUCAUCUCCAGUUAUAAUCUCCACCUGUUGAGGGAGGGAAGUGAUUGUAUCACAGGGGCAGUUUCCCCCGUGCUGUUCUCGUGAUAAUGAGGGAGUUCUUGCGGGAUCUCAAGGUUUUGUAAGUGUCUGGCAUUUCCCGGGCUUCCUUUACUCACUCCUGCUGCCUAAGGAAGAAGGUGUUUUGCUUCUCCUUCGCCAUGAUUGUAAGUAUCGCGAGGACUCCCCAGCCACGUGGAACUGUGAGUCAGUUAAACCUCUUUCCCUUAUAAAUUACCCAGUCUCGGGCAGUUCUUUAUAGCAGUGUGAGGACGGACUGAUACAGCUUCUUACCCGUGUGGAUUUUUUGCGAGGUAGGCUCCAGGGCUGUCUUUCCCCACCCCUCUGUCACCUGUCUGGUGUCACUGCAUGGCCCAAAUGGCAGGCUGAAUAACACUCUAUCUUGGUAAAUCAUCAUGACUCAUUUUUUUUUUUCUUGAAAAAUGUUUCUUGCCUUAAACAUGUGUUAACUAGAUUGGACUUGAAAGGGCCCUGUACUGGAUGAAGCUAAUGUGGUUACUAUCUUAUUUAUGUUACCUUCUUGAGAGUGGUUAUUUAGUUUAGACUUUCUUUGAGGAAGGAAUAGCUAAAUUGCCUCAAAGGAAUAUUCUUUUUCCCAAAUAGGAAUUCUACGGUCACAGCUUAUCUCAGCAAGAACCAUAUACUUGUGACGAAGUGAGCCAGAUUCUCCUACUAUGAUUUCACUGGAAUUCUCCACAAUUUCUGCACUAACUUGAUGCUGACCUUAUGUUUCUUUCAGUGAUGAUACCCUACAGUCUCCUUUUUUUGAAUUUGGAUGCUAGCAAGAGACACUUAAGCUGGCUGAACAACAUAGGAUGAAAGUUUGUGAGAGGAAAGUUUCUUCCAGAUCUGGAAAAACUCAGAAUGUGUUUUUAGAAAAGGGUGGCAAGUGUUCCUAAAGCAUUGUAAAUCGAGUUCACCAUUUGGGUGGAACUGAUUUAUAUUAAGAAUUCUACUCAAUAGUAGUUUGGAAUGCAAGGCAGAGGAAUCUGACCUCUGGCUGUUUAAAAUCAAAACAGAGACAUGCACAAUCUUCCAAGUGUUCUGUCUCUGUGCAGAUGAUGUGCAAAGCCACAUCAUCAAGCCUAUUCUCACACUACCUGCCACUGCUGACUAACCCUACAAACCAAUAUCUGGAGAGCCAUGUGUCCUGCCUCUAAAAUGCCUCAGAUGUUUCUUGCUGCCCCCAUUAGCACUGUUAUAACCCCCGGCCAGAACUCAAAGCCUCCACCUGGCAGCAUCAGGAUGCUUUCUGGCUCUGGUGUGGUUUGUGAUCAGCAGCAAUCAGCAUCACCUGGAACCUGUCAGGAAUGCAGAUUCUCGACCCUACCAUAGAUCUACUGAAUCAGAAAUUUGGAGGGUAGGGCCCAGUGAUCUGUGCUUCAACCAGCACCUGCACGUGACUCUAAGGCGUGCUGAGAAUUAAGAAUCAUGGCUCUAGGCUCUCUCCCUGUAACUCAGAGCAUGAAAUCCUGAUGUCUAUUAGAAUCACCUGCAGUACUUAACACUCCAGACCAAUGAAACUGAUUGGGCAUGAAAUUAAAACUCCCCAGGUGAUUUUACAGCCAAGGUGGAUAAAAUUAACCCGUCAUCAUAGCUUAAAUGAAAGUAUCAGUUACUCCUUUUGCUCUUUUCAGAACUUGUGACGGUUUCUGGCUUUCCACUGCUCAAGUUCAAACUGAGUUUUUUAAAGAAUCCUCAAGUAUAGAUUAGGAAAACCGCCUUCAUCUGGGGCCUGCUUUGUCUCAAGAGCCCACCCCUCAGUUCCGUUCAGGAUUAGGCUCUGCUUGGUUGCAGGAAGCCAAGCGUGUCAGGAGCCCUUCUUUUUCAUUAGUCAUCUCCUUGCCCUCUUUCCCUUUCCCAGGACCCCAGUCCUCAGGGCCGUCCACACCAAUUUGUAUGAGCAGCCAAGUCCAGCCGCCUUCAGUGCUGGUCAUGAGCCCUGAGGCCAGGUCCAAGUAGUGGCAAGAGAGAACAGGGCUUGGAGGAGGGGUGGAAUUUGAGCACAGUGUGAACUGGGAAGAUGCUUCAGCCUCUCUGAAUACCAGCAAACUGCACUAAAGCAUAGCAGAAUAGCUACACCCAGGUCAAGCAUUUGCAGUGUGAUGGGAGCAGAACUCUCCAUUUUGUCUUUCCUGAACGCCAGACUUGGCCUUAAUUACCUAGACAUGAGUCCCUGUGAGUGGGGUUGGGCAUUGGCAGGAAGACCAGCUCUUGGGGUGGGAUAAGUUAGAUAAAGCAUGGUGUCUGUGUCCCUGCCCAACCUGUGGGCCCAAAGAAGACACUCCCUGGCCACAGUGGUGGCCCUGCAGCCUGAGGCCAAAUGUAGAUGUCUACUCUAUGGCUUGAAAUGGAACUUCUCACGCUCCCAGUCACAAAACCCAACUUCAGUAAUAGGGCUUUUGCUUUUUUUUUUUUUAAGAAGGGAGGCUCCUAACUUGAAAAGGUUCUGUUUUGGUUUUGUUUCAGUUAUAAAAUCUAUGUCUAAAAAGCUACUCUGGCAGAGAUAAAGCAUACUUUUCUUGGAAUUUUGACUGUUCAAGUUGUGAGUUUCAGAUUUCCUUUGGUCACAAUCUAAAUGUUUGAAUAAUGUGAUUAAAAUACUAGUAAUUAUUGUGCGGGGAAUUUUGGGGCAGUCUUUAUAAAAAUCCAAGUUACAAAAACCCUAAUUUUCAUAAAAAUUGUAAUCUUACUGAUGAAGACACUGAAAGUCAGGGAAGGUGAGGGAUUCCUCGUGUUAGAAAGUGUGAAACUAGGUUUGCAUCCUGAGCUCGGGGGACAGGAAAGCUCUUUUCAGGACUGUAAAUACCCCUCUGCCAGCCAGCCACCCAUCAUUUGCCUUAAAUGC